AUUGAACGCUGGCGGUAUGCUUAACACAUGCAAGUCGAACGGCAGCACGGGGCAACCUGGUGGCGAGUGGCGAACGGGUGAGUAAUACAUCGGAACGUGCCCAAUCGUGGGGGGAUAACGUAGCGAAAGUUACGCUAAUACCGCAUACGAUCUACGGAUGAAAGCGGGGGAUCGCAAGACCUCGCGCGAAUGGAGCGGCCGAUGUCAGAUUAGGUAGUUGGUGGGGUAAAGGCUCACCAAGCCAACGAUCUGUAGCUGGUCUGAGAGGACGACCAGCCACACUGGAACUGAGACACGGUCCAGACUCCUACGGGAGGCAGCAGUGGGGAAUUUUGGACAAUGGGCGCAAGCCUGAUCCAGCCAUUCCGCGUGCAGGAUGAAGGCC
rnacentral:rRNA from 1 species